UUCUUCUUCUUCUUCUCUUAUUUUGACAGAGAGAGCACGCAUGCGUCUGGGCAGGGGAGGGGCAGAAAGACAGGGAGAGAGAAUCCUAAGCAGGCUCCAUGCUGUUAGCACAGUGCCUCUAUGGGGGGCUCGAUCCCAUGAACUGUGAGAUCAUAACGUGAGCCAAAAUCAAGAGUCAGACACUUAAUCAGUGUUGACACCCGGGCACCCUGAAACAUCUUUAUACUUAAUUUUUGUUUUGUUGACUUAAUUGUGUAAAUUCUUUAGAAAAGCUGUAUAUUGCCGAUUUAAUUUCUGUUUGUGUGACCAAAGAUUUCUUUCUUAGCCUUUAUUCCUUGGGCCUUGUAAGGCAUCCAAGAAGUUGGAAUAUUUGCCUUAGUAGAUUAGCCAUGUGUUUAACUUUUAAGAGGAUUUGCUCAGUUUGCUCUAGGUUCUUGUUCUUUUAUACAUCAGCAGUAAAAUGAAGUAGCAUACCAGCUCUAUAUUUUGAAGAUUUUGAAGCCUCAGAUGAAGUUUGAGAGUCUCUUCAUGCCCCUAUAAGUCCUUGUUUAGUUUUUGAGAUGAUCCAGUAGGAAUUUUGGUUUGGUUUGUUUGAGGUGGGGCAUCAUCACAAACAUUUAGGCAACUCAGCAUGUCACAGGAACUUAUUUAAUACACAAUGCUAAUCUUGAUUUAGAUUUCCUAAGCUUUCUCCCCUUAAUUCUUUUAUUCUAAACUCUUCAACUAUGAAACUGACACCUAGAGAAUUUUUGUAAAGGAAGAAAGACAUACUUCACCACAAUAAUUGUGAACAUGCUCACGUGUAAUACCUACACUAACUAAAUUCUAGGAUUAAAAUUAAACUCUAUGGGCAGUUUUUCAUAUUUUAGCAAUUGAAUUUCUCUUGAGAAAACAGCUCUGUUAGCAAUUAUUCCUAGUACUAUCUUCAGAAGAAUUGAGUUUGUUACCCUAUAACUUACAUAAUGCCUUCAUUAUAGUUAGAUGGCCAGUAAAUAUUUGAAUGACUUGGUAUUGUGAAAAUAGAAUUCUGUUUUCUAUUAGUCACAACUUGAGUAGCAAUUUAGAAAUUGAGGGACUAUAGUUCUUUGUUUAUUGAUAGUAACUUUGUGAGAUAAGAAUGAGAAGGAGUUAGAAAAACUAUUUUUUGAAAAUGGAGAAGAGGAAAAUAUAAUGUA